GAUCCUGGCUCAGGAUGAACGCUAGCUACAGGCUUAACACAUGCAAGUCGUGGGGCAGCAUGGGAGAUGCUUGCAUUUCCCGAUGGCGACCGGCGCACGGGUGAGUAACGCGUAUCCAACCUGCCCUUCACUCCGGCACAGCCCGUCGAAAGACGGAUUAAUGCGGGAUGCGGUCAGAAAGAAUGCAUAUUAAUUUGUACGAAAGGCCUCGGCCGGUCGAGGGAGUGGGAGUGCG
rnacentral:rRNA from 1 species